rnacentral:rRNA from 1 species
CACGUGUGCAACCAACCCCGUACCGGGAGAUAACCCGCGGAAACGUGGACUAACACCCCAUAACACCUUUCCCCCGCAUGGGGGAGAGUUUAAAAUCACGAUGGUACGGGACGGGCACGCGCGACAUUAGGUAGUUGGCGGGGUAACGGCCCACCAAGCCGACGAUGUCUAGGGGUUCUGAGAGGAAGGUCCCCCACACUGGAACUGAGACACGGUCCAGACUCCUACGGGAGGCAGCAGUGAGGAAUAUUGGUCAAUGGGCGAGAGCCUGAACCAGCCAAGUCGCGUGAGGGAAGAAUGGUCUAUGGCCUGUAAACCUCUUUUGUCAAGGAAGAAUAAGCGGCACGAGUGCCACCUUGCCAGUACUAGACGAAUAAGCAUCGGCUAACUCCGUGCCAGCAGCCGCGGUAAUACGGGGGAUGCGAGCGUUAUCCGGAUUUAUUGGGUUUAAAGGGCGCGUAGGCGGGACGUCAAGUCAGCGGUAAAAGACUGCAGCUAAACUGUAGCACGCCGUUGAAACUGUCGACCUGGAGACGAGACGAGGGAGGCGGAACAAGUGAAGUAGCGGUGAAAUGCAUAGAUAUCACUUGGAACCCCGAUAGCGAAGGCAGCUUCCCAGGCUCGAUCUGACGCUGAUGCGCGAGAGCGUGGGUAGCGAACAGGAUUAGAUACCCUGGUAGUCCACGCCGUAAACGAUGCUCACUGGAUCUUGGCGAUACACGGCCAGGGUUCAAGCGAAAGUAUUAAGUGAGCCACCUGGGGAGUACGUCGGCAACGAUGAAACUCAAAGGAAUUGACGGGGGCCCGCACAAGCGGAGGAACAUGUGGUUUAAUUCGAUGAUACGCGAGGAACCUUACCCGGGUUUAAAUGCAGGUUGCAUGAGGUGGAAACACCUCUUUCCCUCGGGACUACCUGCAAGGUGCUGCAUGGUUGUCGUCAGCUCGUGCCGUGAGGUGUCGGGUUAAGUCCCAUAACGAGCGCAACCCCUAUCGCCAGUUGCCAUCGGUUCAAGCCGGGCACUCUGUCGAGACUGCCACCGUAAGGUGCGAGGAAGGCGGGGAUGACGUCAAAUCAGCACGGCCCUUACACCCGGGGCGACACACGUGUUACAAUGGCCGGUACAGAGGGCAGCCACGGGGCGACCCGGAGCGAAUCUCUAAAGCCGGUCGUAGUUCGGACUGGAGUCUGCAACCCGACUCCACGAAGUUGGAUUCGCUAGUAAUCGCGCAUCAGC